AGUCGAACGGGAUGGUCCCUUCGGGGACCGGCGAGUGGCGCACGGGUGAGUAACGCGUGGGGAUCUGCCCUGAAGUAUGGAACAACCGCUGGAAACGGCGGCUAAUACCGUAUACGCCCCUUUUGGUGGUUCUUAAGGGGGAAAGCUUUAUGCGCUUUAGGAUGAACCCGCGUCGGAUUAGCUAGUUGGUGUGGUAACGGCGCACCAAGGCAUCGAUCCGUAGCUGGUCUGAGAGGAUGAUCAGCCACACUGGGACUGAGACACGGCCCAGACUCCUACGGGAGGCAGCAGUGGGGAAUAUUGGACAAUGGGCGCAAGCCUGAUCCAGCCAUGCCGCGUGAAUGAAGAAGGCCUUAGGGUUGUAAAGUUCUUUCACCCAUGAAGAUGAUGACGGUAAUGGGAGAAGAAGCCCCGGCUAACUCCGUGCCAGCAGCCGCGGUAAUACGGAGGGGGCAAGCGUUGUUCGGAAUUACUGGGCGUAAAGGGCGCGCAGGCUGUUUCGUUAGUCAGGCGUGAAAUCCCCGGGCUCAACCCGGGAACUGCGUUUGAUACUGCGGAACUA
rnacentral:rRNA from 1 species